UGUUCUGUGGCUUAGUUGGUUGAGGCGCCGGUCUAGCGAAUACGGAGUCGUGGGUUCGAAUCCCACCAGAACGC
rfam:Aedes albopictus isolate Foshan contig106261, whole genome shotgun sequence.